GAAUAAACAUCAAGAAAUUGGUUGUAGCAUAACCAGAGAAUUCUAGCGAGUUCCAUAAAAGUCGAUUCUGCAUCUUCAUUGCCGCUCUCACAAUAAUGACUUUCAAAACCAUACAGUUUCCGUAAAUCAAGAAUUUCAUUGGGGACUUCACAAAGCGUUAUUUGGGAGAACAACUUUCUAUUGUCACUUUUGGUGGAAAUAAGACAACAAGCUUUUGAGGUUUUUAAUGAAGUUUUAUCAGGUGAGUGUAGCUCACACGAUAAUGACUGUUAUUGGCCAGAGGCGACGGACGGGUUUUAUUUAGCUACUUGUAUUCCUAAGCAAGCUCAAAUAAUUGUAUCAUG
rnacentral:lncRNA from 1 species